UACGUAGGAGACGAGCGUUGUCCGGAGUUACUGGGCGUAAAGGGUGCGCAGGUGGCUGUGCGCGUGGGGGGUGAAAUCCCCGGGCUUAACCUGGGAAUGGCAUUUGGGACUGCAAGGCUUGAGUGCGGCAGAGGAGACUGGAAUUCCUGGUGUAGCAGUGAAAUGCGUAGAUAUCAGGAGGAACACCGAUGGCGAAGGCAGGUCUCUGGGCUGACACUGACGCUCAUGCACGAAAGCGUGGGGAGCAAACAGG
rnacentral:rRNA from 1 species